rnacentral:misc_RNA from 1 species
GAUGAAGAACGUAGCGAAAUGCGAUAAGUAACGUGAAUUGCAGAAUUCAGUGAAUCAUCGAAUCUUUGAACGCACAUUGCGCCCGCCAGUAUUCUGGCGGGCAUGCCUGUUCGAGCGUCAUUACAACCCUCAGGCCCCCGGGCCUGGCGUUGGGGAUCGGCGGAGCCCCCCGUGGGCACACGCCGUCCCCCAAAUGCAGUGGCGGUCCCGCCGCAGCUUCCAUCGCGUAGUAGCUAACACCUCGCGACUGGAGAGCGGCGCGGCCACGCCGUAAAACACCCAACUCUUCUGAAGUUGACCUCGAAUCAGGUAGGAAUACCCGCUGAACUUAAGCAUAUCAAUAAGCGGAGGA